rnacentral:lncRNA from 1 species
GGACGGGAGGGGAAGGAUUAGGGCAAAGGUCAAGACGUGUUCCUGGGAUGCUUACGGGGAAUGGGUCAUUACCAAGAUUUCUCCAUGGCGGAUAUUUUGGAGCGCGUGGAAUUCAAACGAGUAGGGGGUAGAGAAAGCGCCGUCAGCUCCGCGGGAAAUUCCAGUUUCCCUACUACUCCCCCGCCUCUAGCUCAACCUAACCCAAGCAAGACGGACGGUGGAUUGGCAGCCAUCGCUUCCAAUCAGCGGGGGCCACGGGCUCAUCCCAGCCAAUCAGAAAAAGCCAGGUACAGGCAGCGCCUGAGAAGGAGAGUGACGUAGCCUCCGCCAAAACAAGGUUACGGAAUGCCACCGGGGACAAACUGAAUCAGGCGCGGAUCUAUUUGGUGUUACGAAAAGUAAUCCCUUCGCUCUCAGGCUUUGUUAAGCAAAAUUAACUUUAGACUUUGAAGCCAAGCUUUUACGCUCCCUGAAUAAGAACUAGACUAAAGGGGCGCCAGAGGCUAAGCACUGGGACUCGCCCGGUGGGUAUUCCCAGCGUGGCCUUCAUCAUUCCCGGCGUAUAGACCUUCAUCUUGCUGUGCCUGUGAGCCAUUCCAAUACCUCUGACCCUGUACCCCCGAAACUCACUGGCAUUUCCUAUGACUUCUAGAUGUGGGGAAGAAAAAGGAAGCGGGAGCCUGACUUCUAGUGUGGCCCAAGUGGCCACCUUUUCUCUAUUUCUAGAGGCAUCCAUCUGAAAUUCCCAUCAAUGUUUGUGUCGUCCCCAGAGGUCCCCUAAUUUUCCCAAGAAACAAGUCUCCUAGACUGUCAAAAUUCCCCUAGACCGUGGAGCUGGACAUUGACCCCAAGAGAGAGAUAAACAGUAAACUGAGUCAACUGAGCUGUAGCUAUUCUGAGGGGUUCUUGAUUAAUCUCCAACUAAGAGAUCCUACUGCCUCUCCCUCUCCUGUGAGAGUGUGUCACCGUGUCUAAAAUAUUUGGGGGUACUGGCUGUGUACUAAACUGCUUUGGAAUUGGUCCAGGCUGUGAGAUGUCUUAGGUUGCCCAAACUCAGCUCUGUCAUCUCUGUUUUUAAAGGCCCUGUGCCACUAGUGGUCCAUACCUACAAUACCUGCAUUAUUAAAGCAGAGGCAGGAAUCCCUUACAAAUUCGAGGCCAGCCUAGGCUACAUAGAUAGUAAGGACCAGGCUUGCUAUGGCUACAUGGUGAAUAUCCCUUUCAACAGGUGCCUGUGGAAGAAAGUUCUCACCAAUAAUAAACACCAAUAAUAAAACUUUUAAAGCAUUUAUUGGGCCAGGCAUAGUGGAGGUAUAUUUGUAAUGGCAGUAAUCCUGAGGCAGGAGGAUUAGUGUUCAAGGUUAGCUUCUUCUAUAUAGCAAGUCCCAGGCUAGUCAGGUUACAUGAGACCCUGUUUCAAACAAACAAAAACCAGGCUAAGUGGGAUGGCAAUCCCACCACUCAGGAGGCAGAAUGGAUUUCUGUGAAUUUGAGGACAGCUUGGUCUACGUAGUGAAUUCUAGGCCGACCAAGGUUAGACAGUGAGACCCUGUCUCAAAACACCCCCCUCAUCCAAAUAAAAAUGUAUUUCUUUUCAAAAAGGUGAAAGAGGAUUUCAAGAUGGUACAGCAGGUAAGGAUACUGCUACCAACUGUCAGGGUCUGAGUUCCAUCCCUGAGACUCAAUGUGGUUGUCUUCACAUUCAUACUGUGGCACACAUACAUAAUAAAUAAAUUUAAGUG